rnacentral:rRNA from 1 species
CAAUAGCGUAUAUUUAAGUUGUUGCAGUUAAAAAGCUCGUAGUUGGAUUUCGGUUAAGAGCGACCGGUCCGCCGUUUGGUGUGCACUGGUUGGUUUUAACUUCCUGUAGAGGACGUGCUCUGGGUUUAACGACCUGGACUCGGAGUCUACGUGGUUACUUUGAAAAAAUUAGAGUGUUCAAAGCGGGCUUACGCUUGAAUAUUUCAGCAUGGAAUAACACUAUAGAACUCCUGUCCUAUUUCGUUGGUCUCGGGACGGGAGUAAUGAUUAAGAGGAACAGUUGGGGGCAUUCGUAUUUCAUUGUCAGAGGUGAAAUUCUUGGAUUUAUGAAAGACGAACUUCUGCGAAAGCAUUUGCCAAGGAUGUUUUCAUUAA